rnacentral:rRNA from 1 species
GCCUAGCCGUAAAUAUUAACUACACCCACCAACGCCCGGUACUACGAGCCCCAGCUUAAAACCCAAAGGACUUGACGGUGUCCCACCCACCUAGAGGAGCCUGUUCUAUAAUCGAUGAUCCCCGCUAAACCCAACCUCCCCUUGCAAUCAGCCUGUAUACCUCCGUCGUAAGCUUACCAUAUGAAUGUUUUCAGUAAGUUUAAUGGCUAUAAAACACCAAUACGUCAGGUCAAGGUGCAGCUCAUGGGGUGGUAAGCAAUGGGCUACAAUUUCUAAUCUAGAACAAACGAAACACUGUAUGAGACUCAGUUAUAAGGCGGAUUUAGUAGUAAAAAGAAAAGUAGCGUAUUCUUUUUAACUAGGCCCUGGGACGUGUACACACCGCC